GAUAGUUAGUUACAAGGUUAGUGUAUAUAAUCAAUUGUUAGUCACAAAGUCAUUAGAUUAGCUGAGUGAGAACUAAAAUUGUUAGUUCCUUCAACUUCACCCUCUCUUCCUCUGAUUUGUGGAUCUUUCACAUUCAGAACUUCAAUUCAAGUUUAUCUCUCUUUUUAAUGUCUCCCAACUAUGAAUUUAACACCGCUCAGGGCCACUGAACCUUCGUGGAUCAGCCUAGCACAGCCGCGAUUCCAUCCCUGUUUCACGUUCAUCCUCCUCUCACUGGCCGAACUACCACCGCUAACCACCGUAGCCUCCACCAUCGACGAGCCAAGGCGACCCAACCCUCUUCUCCUUUAUCCGCGAGCCCAGAACCACCAACUCCUCCUCGCCGUCGUCCACCAUCACCUUCGCAUAGCCCUCCUUUCUUCUUCCCACCGUCGCCAGCGUUGCCGCCCCCGGCGUCACAACCAAUACCACCAACCUUCCACACACGAGCUCCAACCCCCUUGCUCCAUCGCCUCUCCCACUGCCUUGAAGUUCUCUACUUCUCAGCAACGCCAUCAUUGUUAUAGCCCUUCCAUUGCUUGAUCCACCGGUUAUCUGAUGACAUAGCCCGUUCGGAGCGUCGCUCCAUACGACACUAUGGGCACUUGAGGAGGAUCAGGUGUAUAAUUAAACACUGAAACCUCUUAAUGUUGACAUGAUGCUUAAUUCUUAUGAUUGUAAAGGCUGUUUUCUGACUUCAGAGGGACUUAGUGUGAAGCUUUAUCAGCCAAAGCUUAAUUUUCCUCGUACUGGGUGCACGUGGGAGUAGUGGUUCUUAAAAGUUAAUAGUUCGAGGAUAUUUUGUCAUGGCUAAAAAACAAGAUGUUUCGAAUUAUUUGGCUACUUUAGAAAGUUAUUUAAGUAGUUUUAAUUCUACAGAAAGUCUUUCUUUUGUUAGAAGUGAUUCUUCUGAUGAAGUUGAAUCACCUAGAGAUUUUAAUUUAGUUUUUUCAAUUCCUAGUAUGAAUUCGAUUCCUCAAAUCAAAUUUCGACGUAAUUUAGGUCCUACUUCUUUUUCCAUUCCAAGGAAUAAUAUUGUUAACCAGUCUUGUGUCGAUGUAUCUCAAAGGCUUUGUAUUGAAAAUGAUUCGAUUGAUGAUUUGGUUAAUAAUAAAGUUUGUUUUUCCUCAAA